AGCCUCCUGGUACUUACCACAUGCUGUGUUCUUAGGCUAACUAUAUAGAAAGCAGGAGCAGAAUAACCCUACCCCAUGUAUACCUCAGUACAGGCCCUAUGCUGUGUCUGUAUUGUGAAUGGGGAGACAUGA
rfam:Dipodomys ordii contig_21413, whole genome shotgun sequence.